GGUUCCGCCCGAAACAUGUCCUGCUGUCUGCUGGAUUUUGGCCGGGUCCAGGAGCUCAGACAGGUUCGAGACUUUCUCUUCCCAAAGCACAACAGCGCCGGACCCGAGGAAGAGAAAACACGAGCAGAGAAUGAGUUAACGUGGGAUGACUCCGACUGGGGCUCUUGGGAAAAUCCGGGUGGUAAAGAGGAUGGAGCUCAGGCUGAGGAGGAGGAGCAGCAGCAGAGCGCCC